UUCUCUCAUGUUCUCCUUAUCCUCUCUCUUCCCUGUUCUUCCUUGCGAGUGAAACCCUAGGGUUUCUUCUGCAACUCGCCCUACUAUCUUUCUUCUUUCACCUUCUCUGUAUCUUUUUCUCACUCUGUCUCUCUUUCUGUUUCUUUAUAGAUGAACCCUAUGCCCUCUCACUCUUUCCAACCAAGAACCCUCCAGUAGUUCUAAGCUUUCCUGAAUCUCCAAGCUUUCUACAAUCCAAAUACCUAGACUCCUUAAACUGAAACCCUAAUCUUCUUCCAUCUCCUUUCCUCAUAGCCUCAAAUUUUUUGAAAAUCUACCACCCCUACAGAGACCUGCCUCCCUAUGAUUGGGGGUUUUAAGUAUCCUCCUGAUAUCAUGAAGUUUCAUACACAUUCAGCAAGCUGGGUCUGGCGAUUGGAGCAUCAGGGGAGCAACCGAGUUCAAAACCCAAAUAGUGGGUUUAGACCAAAGCUUGGAUGGAAAGCUAAGUAUUCCUCUCAUCUCCCUUCUGUUUCCCUUGUUUUAAGACCAUUUUUUGGAUUCUUGGUGUGUGAUUUGAUGAGUUGUGAUGACGAUUUGAAUAUUGUAUGUUUUGGGGGUAUUGGUUUGUUAGAGUCUAGUUGCAGGUCUGAGACGAGGACGUGUUGGACUCGUCCUCGACUCAGUGAGUGAGGUUGUGUUAAACUGGUGUUGACUCAUGUGAUUCAACUCAGGGUGAGCAGUGUGAGUCAAACCAGGGCUGUGUGAACUCGGGAAGUUAUGAACUCCUGUGAUCCCGAGUAGGUCAAGCACGUGUGACUAAACACGUGCAGGUAUAGGGUUAGAAAGUCUUUGUGAGCUUGGUUAAAUAUUCGAUGGGCCUGUUUUUAGGUCUUCAAAGUUGGAACGGGCCUCAUUUAAAAAGUUGGGCCUUUGGGUAUUUUCAAAAGUUGGUAUGGGCUUAGUUUUAAAAAUAAAAAUGGUGGGCUUGUUUUAAAAUCGUGUUAAUGGGCUCGGGUUAAAAAUGAAAGCUUGGGUCUAGGGAUUUUCAAAAAUGGGCUUGAGUUAUACAAGAAAAGAGGCUAGCCCAAGGUUAAUUUAAAAUGGGCUUGAGAUAGGAUUUUAAAACGGGCUUCGGGUUUUAAAAGCAUACAAGCCUAGGGGUUUAAAAGGCAAGUGUGCUUGGUUUUAAGAUUAAAGUGUGCUUGGGGUUUUUUUUAAAAUGGGCUACGGGUUAAAGUUUAAAAAUGGGUUGUGGGUCAAGAUUUAAAAAUGGGUUGUGGGUCAAGGUUUAAAAUGGGGUUGGGGCUUGGUCUGAAGGGUUUGAACCCGAGUUUGGGUUCAAGUUUGGGUUAAAGUCUAAGGGGCUAAAUGGGUCAAGGGUUUUGGGUUAGAGGAACUCAGAACUUGGGUCGGGUCUCGGGUUCAAGUUGGGUGUUCAGGUCUGAGCUCAGGUUCAAGAACCUAAGAAAGGAGGAAGUACCUGCACUCACAGUUCACAUAUAAUACACUUCACAAUUUGAUUUAGGGAAUGGAUAAGGGAUUUACCUAAAAUCUCUCACUCCUCUGGUCUUCUUUUCCAAUCUUUGUGUGUGUGUCUGGUUUGGUGUGUCUAGGGGUUCACAAACUAAAAUCAAGUUCGGGUCAAGCUCUCCUUCGGUUUGUGAUGCCUUUCUUUCUGAAUCCUUCCUGCUUCUGCAGGAUUUCUUUAAUUCCAAUCGCACUAGUACUUCCUACAGAGUUUCUCUUCAAUUCUCUCUUUUUGACUCUAUUUCUGCAGAGUGUUACUAUGCUCUCUGAUCCUCUUUUCUUUCUAUCGAUUUGCGUAGAGUAAUUCUACGCUCAAAGGGGUGUCCUGCUACAGUGCCAGUACUCCCUAUUUAUAGGGAGUCCAGGGGUUGCUUUUUACGCCAAUUCACUACUCUUCUAACCAAUUUCCCCCUAACGGACUGUUAGAAUGAAUUUUCACCUUUAUAGGUGUCAUUCCAACCUUGUGCAUGUGAAUUCCUAUUCCUAUUUUCCUGAAUUUCUCUUCUAACCACCUGAUUCCUUCUUCUACGCAACGGAUUUGUUGAGCCAGAUGGCAACACAGGGAUGGCGGGCAUUUUGGGGCUUUUAGAUGGCAGCAUAAGGUGAUUGGGGUAGUGUAAGGUGGCAGUGGGAGCAUGGCGAGCUUUUUGGAGUAUUCCAGCUUGGCAAGCCCGAAUUGGAGGAUGUGGCUCUUCAUUUUUUUAUUGUCCUUUUUUACUGUAAUUUCUGCAUGUACCCCCCAAAUUGCUAAUGGUGCAACUAUUAUUUGUACAGUUCCUUUGUAUGUACUUAUUUUUACUUUCCUGUAUUUCAAUACUUUAUUUUAUCUUGUAUGCUCCUUUUGUAUGCUUAAAUGCCUACGUGUGCUUGCGUACACACCGACUCCCUUUGCUGAACAA